rnacentral:rRNA from 1 species
CCUACGGGAGGCAGCAGUAGGGAAUCUUCCACAAUGGGCGAAAGCCUGAUGGAGCAACGCCGCGUGGGUGAAGAAGGCCUUCGGAUCGUAAAACCCUGUUGUCAGAGAAGAAAGUGCGUGAGAGUAACUGUUUACGUUUCGACGGUAUCUAACCAGAAAGCCACGGCUAACUACGUGCCAGCAGCCGCGGUAAUACGUAGGUGGCAAGCGUUAUCCGGAUUUAUUGGGCGUAAAGGGAACGCAGGCGGUCUUUUAAGUCUGAUGUGAAAGCCUUGGGCUUAACCGGAGUAGUGCAUUGGAAACUGGGAGGCUUGAGUGCAGAAGAGGAGAGUGGAACUCCAGGUGUAGCGGUGAAAUGCGUAGAUAUAUGGAAGAACACCAGUGGCGAAGGCGGCUCUCUGGUCUGUAACUGACGCUGAGGUUCGAAAGCGUGGGUAGCAAACAGGAUUAGAUACCCCUGUAGUC